CCUACGGGAGGCAGCAGUGAGGAAUAUUGGUCAAUGGACGAGAGUCUGAACCAGCCAAGUCGCGUGAAGGAUGACUGCCCUCUGGGUUGUAAACUUCUUUUAUAUGGGAAUAAAAUGUUCCACGUGUGGGAUUUUGUAUGUACAAUAUGAAUAAGGAUCGGCUAACUCCGUGCCAGCAGCCGCGGUAAUACGGAGGGUCCGAGCGUUAUCCGGAUUUAUUGGGUUUAAAGGGAGCGUAGUGGGAUUGAUAAGUCAGUUGUGAAAGUUUGCGGCUCAACCGUAAAAUGGCAGUUGAAACUGGCAGUCUUGAGUACAGUAGAGGUGAGCGGAAUUCGUGGUGUAGCGGUGAAAUGCGUAGAUAUCACGAAGAACUCCGAUGGCGAAGGCAGCUCACUGGACUGCAACUGACACUGAGGCUCGAAAGUGUGGGUAGCAAACAGGAUUAGAUACCCGAGUAGUC
rnacentral:rRNA from 1 species